CCUACUGGUGGCAGCAGUGAGGAAUAUUUGUCAAUGGACGAGAGUCUGAACCAGCCAAGUAGCGUGAAGGAUGACUGCCCUAUGGGUUGUAAACUUCUUUUAUAUGGGAAUAAAACGUUCCACGUGUGGGUUUUUGUAUGUAUCCUAUGAAUAAGGAUCGGCUAACUCCGUGCCAGCAGCCGCGGUAAUACGGAGGAGCCGAGCGUUAUCCGGAUUUAUUGGGUUUAAAGGGAGCGUAGGUGGAUUGUUAAGUCAGUUGUGAAAGUUUGCGGCUCAACCGUAGAAUUGCAGUUGAAACUGGCAGUCGUGAGUACAGUAGAGGUUGGCGGAAUUCGUGGUGUAGCGGUGAAAUGCUUAGAUAUCACGAAGAACUCCGAUUGCGAAGGCAGUUCACUGGACUGCAACUGACACUGAGGCUCGAAAGUGUGGGUAUCAAACAGGAUUAGAUACCCUAGUAGUC
rnacentral:rRNA from 1 species